GCUGAGCAUGGGGCCUGGCUCAUAGAAAGUAUCAAAUAAGUGGUAGACAAGUUGUCAUUUUCACUUGUGGUUGAUAAUUUCCACUUUUGCCUUUCUGCAGCCCAGAGACAGAAGCAGAUAAUGCAAGUGUCAUCUACAUCUGGCAAAAGCCAAAGGUUUGGAAGAUGGAAAAAGGAAUCCAGGCAAAAAGGAGCCCAAGAUUGAAGUGAAUGACCAGGUGCACCAGUUCAAAUGCAAUCAGGAGGGACAGGGGUAGAGGGAGAAGCCUAGAGCAGCGCUUCUCAAACUGACUAUUCAAGUCACCUGGAGAUCUUGGUGAAAUGCAGACUCUGGUGCAGUAGGUCCUGGCGGGAACUUGAAAUUCUGCAUUUUGACCAAGGUCCAAGGUGAAUGUCCAGUGCUGUUGUCCUUGGCCUGCAGCAGGAGGAGCAGGGAUCUAAGACUUGGAGAGCAAAUGUCAAGCUCAGAAGAAAGACUGGAAGUUUGGGGACAAAACCCAAAUAUGGCUAAAGAAAGCCUGUAGGAUGAAGUUGGAAGUUCCAGAGCCUUCUCUUCACAUAAUGGGACAUGCAAGGGGGAAACCAAAUCAAAAGUGUAGAAUGCGUCGCUGGAUGUCUUUGACAUGUUAUUGUUCUGAUAGAAUAUCAGCGGGGAGCUACUGAGGACCUCCUCACUACCCUCCCUUGGAAGAGUUUGUCUGCAAUGGAGCCAACACAGUGGAAAGCAGAGCUGAGAAAUGGACAAACAACUCCUGAUGCCUCAUUUGAGCACCUGGAUUUAGCCAUGUCUGAAGCUAUUAUAUCCUUGAACUUUUGAAU
rnacentral:lncRNA from 10 species